rnacentral:lncRNA from 1 species
CGGGGUACCCGAAUCGACUAGUUCGGAGGGUUGUUUCCGAUCAUAGCAGAUAAACUGUUGAAACAUCAUUGUUCGUUUUAAUUUUUGAACAAGUAGACUACACAAGUAUUUUUUACACAUACAUGUAGCAUGUAUACACUAACUGAUUAUCUGCCAGCAACGACAAGGGUAGCGUGAAUCCGGGAUUUUGAAGGGGAACCCAAAUUACCCAGGCAUGCAAUGGAUAGACUAUACGAGACUUAAGUGCACAAACUUUCCCCGUCUUUUUGAAAAAGCCAAAAACACUUUUCUCUCAUCCCCAC